rnacentral:tRNA from 1 species
GUCGCGGGGUGGAGCAGUUUGGUAGCUCGUCGGGCUCAUAACCCGAAGGUCGUUGGUUCAAAUCCAGCCCCCGCAACCAGU